GCGAGGGAGAAAAGUGAGGUUAAAUCGUGAAAUAUUGGGAUUUUUGCGGCCAGGGUGCGCCCCCCCCCAAAAAAAAAAAAAGAGAAGCGUCCCUUUGGGUGCAUGUAAGCAGCGGGGGUGACCCAAAAACGGCAGGAUUCACCCCAAAAAAGGCACAGAGCAAGGCACUGUUAGCUCAUUAGCGCUAAUUAAUGAGCCCCCCCCCCCCCGGCCCUAAAAUGGCCGCCAGCACGUGGGGCCGCCAUUUUGUGCCCUGUCCCCUCAAACCCCCCGAAUCAGCCCCCAAAAAAACUGAAUCAGCCCCAAAAUGCCCUGAAUCAGCCCCAAAAUGCCCUGGAUGAAUCGCAGUCUGUCCCAAUAUAACUCCAAACCAGCCCCAACUGCUCUGAUUCAGCCCCAAAACGCCCCCAAAUUGCCCUGAAUCAGCCCAAAACACCCCAAAUCAGCUCCAAACCACCCUGAAUCAGCCCCAAAAACCCUCUGUUUAACCCCAAAAUGAGUCCCCAAGGGGUCUGAUGUGCCUCAAACCGUCCCAAUCUGCCCCCUGAAUCCCAAUCUGCCCCUAAAUUGCCCCAAAUCACCCCCAUUUGCCCCGAUCUCCCCCAAAUUGCCUCAAAUCUCAAUUUAUCCCAAAUUAGUCCAAAUCUGCCCCGAAACGCCCCACAUUAGUCCCAAUCUGCCCCAAAAUUGCCCUAAACUACCUGAUGUGCCCUGAAUUAGUCCCAAACCACCCCGAAAUUGUCCUAAACCGCCCCAAUUUGCCCCAAAUCAGUCCCAAUCCGCCCCAAACCACCCCAGUUUGCCCUGAAUUAGUCCCAAACCACCCCGAAAUUGCCCCAAUCCGCCCCAAUUUGCCCCAAAACUGGGGAGGGGGGUGCAAUGGGGGGGUGACAGCCGUGUCCCAGUGCCCUUCGUUAGUGUCCAGUGCUCCCAGUUUGCUCCAGGGGGAGCUCCCAGUUUGCUCCCAGUAUGUUCCGGGGGGGCUCCCAGUCCAAGCAGGGGAGCUCCCAGUCCAUGGGGGGGGAGCUCCCAGUGCUUCCAGUCCAGGUGGGGGAGCUCCCAGUCCAUGGGGGGGGAGCUCCCAGUGCUCCCAGUCCAGGCGGGGGAGCUCCCAGUUCAUGGGGGGG
rnacentral:lncRNA from 1 species